rnacentral:rRNA from 1 species
GACGAACGCUGGCGGCGUGCUUAACACAUGCAAGUCGAGCGGAAAGGCUCCUUCGGGGGUACUCGAGCGGCGAACGGGUGAGUAACACGUGAGUAAUCUGCCCUGCGCUCUGGGAUAGCCACCGGAAACGGUGAUUAAUACCGGAUAUGACCACUCUGGGCAUCCAGUGGUGGUGGAAAGUUUUUCGGCGCAGGAUGUGCUCGCGGCCUAUCAGCUUGUUGGUGAGGUAAUGGCUCACCAAGGCUUUGACGGGUAGCCGGCCUGAGAGGGUGACCGGUCACACUGGGACUGGGACACGGCCCAGACUCCUACGGGAGGCAGCAGUGGGGAAUAUUGGACAAUGGGCGGAAGCCUGAUCCAGCAACGCCGCGUGAGGGAUGACGGCCUUCGGGUUGUAAACCUCUUUCAGUACCGACGAAGCGAAAGUGACGGUAGGUACAGAAGAAGGACCGGCCAACUACGUGCCAGCAGCCGCCGCGGUAA